CACCAAAACGUCGUGGUUUAGGCUCAAGCAUUCAUGAGGACUCGGGCGAUAUACAAGUCCCGACAGCCCAAUAAAAUAUAACCGAGCCUUCACGAAAGCACUUUAUGGCAGUUAACAUAUUUUAUUCUUUUAUUGCUGACGUUUUGAUCGCCAUUUUUAUUUACUCUGUACCUUCCAGCGAUGCCCGGUAGUUUCAAGCAGGACGGGACCUCCUGCCGCAAGGCACCGUACACACGAAACCCCUGCUGCGGGGAGCUCACGGACCGCGCAGAUGCAAGCUUGGCCAUAGCCUUCAAGGCGUUCAGGAACCGGGUUUGUGUCUCAGAUUUAUGAAACAAGAACAGCCAGAGCACAACGAGAAACACGGGAAGCAAACACCAUCCUGGAAAUACCACUGCGGGUGGUUUAAACUCCCGUGCCGUGCACACCCAGACCUUUCCAGGUGAAGCAAAGACCCCAUGCGGGUGCUGGAGGCACCUGCCUCAGCCCUGAGGGAACCUAGCCACGCCGGCACAGCACCCCCACCUCGCCAGCGCCAGGGCUGAGCGGCCUGGGGACAGCACCGUGCUAACACAACUGUCGCACGCCUGAGCCACGGCGAGUACUGCAGCGCUGCGCUCCCACCACGCAGACGUGUCACCCCCCCACAUCCUUCUUACAGCCCUGCAACGUGCCACUUUUCUGGUGGGACAGGUGCUCCAUGAAGAGGUCAAAGCAAAACCCACAACCCAGGGAAGGGGAUGAUGCUUUUAUACAUCACUUCUUGGGUUUGUUGUUUGGUGGGUUGGUUUGGUUUUUUUAAACACGUGCUGCUUGCUGCACUGCCUGCAACACCCAGGACACCGCUGGCUCCUCCACAGUUGUCCCCCGGUGUCACCAGACCUCUUGGAGCCCCUUCACCGCACUUCACUCUUUAACCUAGCACAACACAGGCCAGCAUGGAUCUUUCCUCUGUCUGGCUCUUGUAAGAUGGACACUAUGCUCAGAGGUAGCUCGUAAAUCUUAUAAAUAUCGAUCAUACAAAUAUAGCAGUAACUAUGUCAUUAGACGGGCUUCAGGAACCUUUUGCUAGGAUGACACACAUUGUAACGCCAGGAAAGCCCUCCUUUUAGGAUGCUGAUACCCUAAUGUUGGCAUAUGUUAAAAGUACUGCCAGCUUUCAGAAGCUUCUAUAUUAUCAAUUGCAAACAUUCAGAAAUCACAAGUUUGGCCCCAAAAUAAACGUGAUUUGUUAAAAAGUAA